AACGAACGCUGGCGGCAGGCUUAACACAUGCAAGUCGAGCGCCCCGCAAGGGGAGCGGCAGACGGGUGAGUAACGCGUGGGAACGUACCUUUUGGUUCGGAACAACUCCGGGAAACUGGAGCUAAUACCGGAUAAGCCCUAACGGGGAAAGAUUUAUCGCCGAAAGAUCGGCCCGCGUCUGAUUAGCUAGUUGGUGAGGUAAUGGCUCACCAAGGCGACGAUCAGUAGCUGGUCUGAGAGGAUGAUCAGCCACACUGGGACUGAGACACGGCCCAGACUCCUACGGGAGGCAGCAGUGGGGAAUAUUGGACAAUGGGCGCAAGCCUGAUCCAGCCAUGCCGCGUGAGUGAUGAAGGCCUUAGGGUUGUAAAGCUCUUUUGUCCGGGAAGAUAAUGACUGUACCGGAAGAAUAAGCCCCGGCUAACUUCGUG
rnacentral:rRNA from 1 species